rnacentral:misc_RNA from 1 species
AGCAGCCGCGGUAAUUCCAGCUCCAAUAGCGUAUAUUAAAGUUGUUGCAGUUAAAAAGCUCGUAGUUGAAUUUCGGGAUCAAUAUAUCGGUCGUGCCUUGGUACGUACUGGUAUCAUUGGUUUCUCCUUUCUGACGAACCAUGAUGUCAUUAAUUUGGUGUUAUGGGAAGUUAGGACUGUUACUUUGAAAAAAUUAGAGUGUUUAAAGCAGGCUUUGGCUUGAAUACAUUAGCAUGGAAUAAUGAAAUAGGACGUUCGAACCUAUUUUGUUGGUUUCUAGGAUCAACGUAAUGAUUAAUAGGGAUAGUUGGGGGCAUUAGUAUUCAAUUGUCAGAGGUGAAAUUCUUGGAUUUAUUGAAGACUAACUACUGCGAAAGCAUUUGCCAAGGAUGUUUUCAUUAAUCAAGAACGAAAGUUAGGGGAUCGAAGACGAUCAGAUACCGUCGUAGUCCUAACCAUAAACUAUGCCGACUAGGGAUCGGAUGAUGUUAAUUUUUUAAUGACUCAUUCGGCGCCUUAC